CGCUCACUAUGUGGAAUACUUCCACUUUAUUUUACUUUUUUUUUUUUACCUGUAGUUAUUGUUAGUGCUAAAUGCCUAUUAUAUAAUGUUCAGAUACACUUGAGUACAUAUUUUAAUUUUUCACAGUUCACAUUUGCAUUUCCCAUUUACAAAAUAAAUGUCUGUAUCUUACUAAUAGACGUUUGUUCAGUUACGUAAAGCCGUUAGUGACGGAAAAGUCUAUUUCAGAAGCUGUUGUCGCAUGCAGCUGGUAAAGGAAAAGUAAAACAAAACACAUUAUGAUGUGAUCUUUCGUUUAAAAAAUUCAAUUUCUACGAAUUACAAUAACUGCGUGUUUUUUCUCACACAGAACACGAAAUCGUGCAAAUACUAAAUAUUCUAAAUUUAGAGUCAUCGUCACGCUUGCACGCAAAACAAGUUAUAAAAUAACAAAUGAAGAAAUAAAGCAAAAAGGAAAGAUAAUUAAAAAUAUGAAAAAAGUUUAAUAAAGCAGCAAAUGCAAUAAAAAUUUCAACAACUUCACAAAAGAUGGAGUUAACCGAAUGUUAAUAAAAAAAAAUUAAAAUAAAAACACAAAAACCAGCAGAAAAACAUUUAAAUAUUUUUUUAACUUUUUGUCUUAAUCACAGUCUGAAGAGUCAUAAUAAAAGAGAUUUAUUUGAUGGGAAAAAGCAAGAACGCAAGCUCCAGCAGCGUCGGUUGUUUUUUGCAAUUCAUCCCACGGCCAACAGUUAUUUGUGCUUUUAAACACUAACCCUGACACAAAAAACCGCAAGACACGCAUUUGCAUAAAAUCACAAGAAACGCAAACGUUAACAACUUAUUAACAAUAAAGGCCUUUUCAGUUGAAGAUGCCGCCACAAUUUGAUAUUAGAACGGAAAUCUAACGGUUCAUUAAGCAGUCAAAAGUCGAUUGAUGCAAAAAUAUUUCUUUCACACAA